rnacentral:rRNA from 1 species
AUGAAUGGGUUUAACCUAGGUACUUGGCUAGAUAUUGAUGUAACUAGAUGGACUAUAAAAGAGUAUAUUCAAGAUCGAAUUCAAUCUGAUGGAUCAUCUUGCGGCUUGUUCAUGCUACAAUUCAUUGAAUACUGGACAGGACACAAACUGUCACAUCCUAUUACACAGGAAGAUGUCAAACCCUUCAGGCAAAAAGUAGCAAUCAUUCUCCAUGAAUCAGAUCUGAACGAUAUAAAAGGAACUCCUGAGUACCAUAAUCCAGCAGACGAUAUAAUAGAUACUGACGGUGUUGAAAUAUUGGACCCGCCACCUGCCAUGGUUGUUCUGAGAAUGCCACUUAAUAAAAAUGAGCUACUUUGCAAACUUCGAGGUCAUAUCAUGUCCAUUCAUAAUGCAGAUUCCCGAGAGAAAGAAUGGAUCCGUAGCUCCAAGCCCUACCCACUAAGUAUAAGUCUUAGACAACUACAAGACUUACUAAAGAAUACACGGGCUAUUGAUGUCGACAGUUUUAAUAUGGCUGUUCGAGUAAAUGCUACAGACGACAUUCAAUGGGCUAAAGACACUCCAUAUCACUAUAUGGAUCUCAGAUUUUCUAUGAUACUAAAUGACUCUACACAAGAUCCAAAACUCCGUUUACCAUUUGAUGCCCAACGCUACAUUAUUGCAAAACUAUUUCAUUGUUGGCCUGAUAUGUGCUUUGACGUCUCGGUGUGCAAGUUGAUUUUGUUGCCGUUUUGUACAACCGGUCGCUUCAUCCUCUUCCUGUUCGACCUAUUGGAUAGAACAAUCACUAUACUUGACCCUCUUCCCCUAUCGGAUGCAUGGAAAAAGAAUCCUUCACAGAAGGACAUAUUUAAGAUUCAAUGUAUUUCAUUCCAUCUAAACAUAGCAUUACAAGAUGCAAUUCCUGGCUGGAAUGAUGAUGUUUUUAGAUGGCGUCGCAUCAUACCAAUUGGAGUUCCAAAAAACCCAAACAGCAAUAUGUCUGGGUUUUUAGUUUUAAAGAUUAUGCGCACGUGGCAUGAUCAUGAACAUGGAUUACCAGUUGUCCCG